AUUGAACGCUGGCGGCAGGCUUAACACAUGCAAGUCGAACGAGUGGCGGACGGGUGAGUAAUGCUUGGGAAUCUAGCUUAUGGAGGUGGAUAACUACGGGAAACUGUAGCUAAUACCGCGUACCAUAGGAUGAGCCGAAGUGGGAUUAGGUAGUUGGUGAGGUAAAGGCUCACCAAGCCGACGAUCGCUAGCUGGUCUGAGAGGAUGAGCAGCCACCAUGUGACUGGGACACGGCCCAGACGCCUACGGUAGGCAGCAGGGGGGAAUAUUGCGCAAUGGGGGAAACCUGACGCAGCCAUGCGGCGUGAAUGAAGAAGGCCUUCGGGUUGUAAAGUUCUUUCGGUAGCGAGGCGUUAACUACAGCAGAAGCACCGGCUAACUCCGUGCCAGCAGCCGCGGUAAUUC
rnacentral:rRNA from 1 species